rnacentral:rRNA from 1 species
UACGGGGGGUGCGAGCGUUGUCCGGAAUCACUGGGCGUAAAGGGCGCGUAGGUGGCCUGAUAAGGGUGUGGUGAAGUCCGGGGCUCAACCCCGGAUCUGCCGUGCCGACUGUUAGGCUAGAGUACUGUAGGGGCAGGCGGAAUUCCUGGUGUAGCGGUGAAAUGCGCAGAUAUCAGGAGGAACACCGGUGGCGAAGGCGGGUCUCUGGCCGAUACUGACGCUGAGGAGCGAAAGCGUGGGGAGCAAACAGG